UGGGGAAUAUUGGACAAUGGGCGAAAGCCUGAUCCAGCCAUGCCGCGUGUGUGAAGAAGGUCUUCGGAUUGUAAAGCACUUUAAGUUGGGAGGAAGGGCAGUAAGCGAAUACCUUGCUGUUUUGACGUUACCGACAGAAUAAGCACCGGCUAACUCUGUGCCAGCAGCCGCGGUAAUACAGAGGGUGCAAGCGUUAAUCGGAAUUACUGGGCGUAAAGCGCGGGUAGGUGGUUCGUUAAGUUGAAUGUGAAAGCCCCGGGCUCAACCUGGGAACUGCAUCCAAAACUGGCGAGCUAGAGUAGGGCAGAGGGUGGUGGAAUUUCCUGUGUAGCGGUGAAAUGCGUAGAUAUAGGAAGGAACACCAGUGGCGAAGGCGACCACCUGGGCUCAUACUGACACUGAGGUGCGAAAGCGUGGGGAGCAAACAGG
rnacentral:rRNA from 1 species